CACGUAGGAGGCAAGCGUUAUCCGGAUCUACUGGGUGUAAAGCGCCAGCAGGCGGCUUGAGAAGUCACGUGUGAAAGCGCCCGGCUCAACUGGGCGAGGACAUGUGAGACUCUUAGGCUAGAGGCAGGUAGAGGCAUGUGGAAUUCCGGGUGUAGUAGUGAAAUGCGUAGAGAUCCGGAGGAACACCAGUGGCGAAGGCGACAUGCUGGACCUGACCUGACGCUCAGAGGCGAAAGCACGGGGAGCGAACGGG
rnacentral:rRNA from 1 species